rnacentral:lncRNA from 1 species
AGUAUCCUAGACCCAAGAUGCAAGUUCAUGGAUUGUAGAGGAAGACAGGAGGCCAAACACUGAAACAGCAUCUAACAGAAGUGCACACUGGGUCAAAAUUUCCACUUCUAUUUGGUCGAAUUUCCAACAUAAAUUAAACCAUUUUCUCGAAGUCGUGGCUUUUCCCAUUGCAGGCUGUGGGCUCAAACAGGCACAAACUGGAGCACAGGAGGUGCAAUCAGAACAUCAGGAAACACUUUUCAUGGUGAGUGUGGUCACCCACAGAUUGCCCAGGAAGGCUGUGAAGUCUCCAUUCUUAGAGGUAUUCAAAAGCCAUCAUGACCUGGUCCAGGCAGCUUGCUCCAGGUGGCCCUUCCUGAGCAAGGUGGUUGGGUCAGAUGACCCCCAGAGGUCCCUUCCAAUGCCAACCAUUCUGUGACUGAUUCUGUGGCUGCUUGAUCAGAGCUGCUGACAUCUUUGGUUUUGGGAAUAUUGCUUUUGGUGUUAGCAGUUGGUUGUGUUCCACUUUUAAGAAACUAAUAGUUCCUUCAGCACAGAAUAGGCAAGAAAGCUGUUUUGAUUCUUGGAGACUUCUUGAUUCUUAUGAGUGUGCAGGAGGAAAGGUUGUACUGAGGCUUCCUCUCCUAAGAGGGAGUGUGAAGAUUCCAGGAAGUAGGAUGAACACUAGCAAAUGGCUGGUAGUGUGAAUGCUG